UUUUUUUUAUGUUUUUAGGUGUUUUAUUUAUUUUAUUUUAAAGCAGAUCUAAGAAUGUUCUUUAAAGUGUCUUAAAAACCACAAGUAAAAAUAUUUCUUAAAUAACCCUUUGUCCUAUGAAUACCUAUGGCAUUGUCUGAGACAAACAUAUCACUUAAAAAACACAAAAGCAGAAUACUGAGGGAACAAAUUUAGCUUAAGUGCAGAAAAUAUACAGAAAUUUAAUUCCACUAAAUCUUAAUUUAGUAGCAUAAUAGGACCCCUAAACUUUGCUUCUAUUGGAGCAUGGGAUCUGAAUAUGAAGAAUCAAACCUAUAGCUCUAUGUCCUGAUGCUCUGCUAAGGUGUCUAGACUGUUAUCAAUGGCACAUAGGCACCCUAAAAUACAGUUCACUCAUCCUGUUGAAGCUCAGGCUCUUGCUUUAAGAAUCAUAAACAGAAAAAAGGGUGUCAGAACAACUAAGAAGCAAAACAACCCCACAUUAUGGAAACAGCAUUUAACAUACUCCCAUGCUGUCAGUAAGUGAAAAUGGUAUUCCAUGGUAGAAUUGACGUUCAUUCAAACUUUUAAUGAGAACUUCCUUUGGUGUUUUCUCAGGCUCUGCUGGAACACCAGCUGAUCUCACCUCCUCAGUGGUAACUGGAGGUGCCACAGCACCCCUGCACACCAGCCUCACCAGUUCUAGGACCACAGAAGGCAAAGGAAGUCCCACUGUGUCAGUGUCUACUCAAGGAGAAGUCAGCACAUCCAGGGAACACAGCACUGCAGCUACAAGCCCAGGAACCUCAGGUUCAACAGGAGCAUCUGCAGGAACCACCUCAGGAACAGGAACUAGAACAGGAACAGAUGCAACCACCACUGAAGCUCCUAGAACGAGCACAUCUGGAGGAACAGGCACACCCAAAGCAUCCUCCGCAGCAACCUCUGAAGCAGCUGUCAGCAGCAGCCCUGGGACAAGAAGCACUGGAGCCCCAGGUUCUGAAUCUGCAAGGACCCACACUGCUGGUUCAGUGGCCACAACCAAACCAUCCACCUCUGCCAGCACAGAACCUGGCACAAGUAGAGAAGCAGGUACAACUACUUUGGGAGUCACUGUAGAAAGUACAUCUGGAAGAACAGGU
ensembl:lincRNA